rnacentral:tRNA from 4 species
GCCCGGAUGGUGAAAUAGGUAGACACAAGGGACUUAAAAUCCCUCGGCCUAACGGCUGUACCGGUUCGAUUCCGGUUCCGGGCACCA